rnacentral:rRNA from 1 species
UCUGAAUCUGCGAACGGCUCCGCAAACCAGUUGUAAACCAAGGCAGGGCUCCGUCCCGCGGCCCCAUUUCAGUGGGGAAGCGGGUUAAUAUAUGGAUAUCCGUGGUAAUUCUGAGGCUAAUACAUGACGUACAACACCUCGCUCUCGGGCUUGCCCAGGGCGGGGGGGCGUGCGACUCAAGGCUAGGGUACAAUCCACGACAGAACGCACGCUCGGACCACCGCGAAGGGUGAAAGGCUUCGGCCUGGAUCCUGGUGGCCCCCGCAAUGUGCUUCUGACCUAUCAACUAGACGGCAGCGUAACGGACAUGCUUUGGUGACAACGGUACAG